CGGCAAUAGCUCAAAUUUGAAAUCUGGCCUCUGGUCCGAAUUGUAAUUUGUAGAGGAUGCUUCGAACUUUGGUCUGGUCUAAGUUCCUUGGAACAGGACGUCAUAGAGGGUGAGAAUCCCGUAUGCGACUGGGUGCCUUUGUUCAUGUGAAGCUCCUUCGAC
rnacentral:rRNA from 1 species